GAUGAAGAACGCAGCGAAAUGCGAUAAGUAAUGUGAAUUGCAGAAUUCAGUGAAUCAUCGAAUCUUUGAACGCACAUUGCGCCCGCUAGUAUUCUGGCGGGCAUGCCUGUCCGAGCGUCGUUUCAACCCUCAAGCCCCCGGGCUUGGUGUUGGGGAUCGGCGAGCCUCCGCGCCCGCCGUCCCCUAAAUCUAGUGGCGGUCUCGCUGUAGCUUCCUCUGCGUAGUAGCACACCUCGCACUGGGAAACAGCGCGGCCACGCCGUUAAACCCCCAACUUCUGAAUGUUGACCUCGGAUCAGGUAGGAAUACCCGCUGAACUUAAGCAUAUCAAUAAGCGGAGGA
rnacentral:misc_RNA from 1 species